GCAGUAUAUAGGCGACGGCUUACGUUUUAUUUCUAUUUGAAAAUGAAGUUUACACGAUUUUUACUUUGCGUUUUCGCUUUCAUUUUAAAUAUUCUAAUUGCUUCAGCUCGGCUUCCUAAUCCAUUGGGCUUCAUUGCUGACGCAAAAGAUGGAUUGGAUGGAGGCGCAGAGGUGGCUGAGUCAGCAUUAGAUGCAUUCGGAAAUAUUGUGCCUUGAUAAAAGAUUAUUUGAUUUAAAAAUAUAUACCUACUGACUGGCCCAAUAAAAUCCUAUUACAUUUUA